AUUGAACGCUGGCGGCAGGCUUAACACAUGCAAGUCGAGCGGAGAUGAGGUGCUUGCACCUUAUCUUAGCGGCGGACGGGUGAGUAAUGCUCAGGAAUCUGCCUAUUAGCGGGGGACAACAUUCCGAAAGGAAUGCUAAUACCGCAUACGCCCAACGGGGGAAAGCAGGGGAUCUUCGGACCUCGUGCUAAUAGAUGAGUCUAGGUCGGAUUACCUAGUUGGUGGGGGAAAGGCCUACCAAGGCGACGAUCUGGAGCGGGUCUGAGAGGAUGAUCCGCCACACUGGGACUGAGACACGGCCCAGACUCCUACGGGAGGCAGCAGUGGGGAAUAUUGGACAAUGGGCGGAAGCCUGAUCCAGCCAUGCCGCGUGUGUGAAGAAGGCCUUUUGGUUGUAAAGCACUUUAAGCGAGGAGGAGGCUACCUGGAUUAAUACUCUAGGAUAGUGGACGUUACUCGCAGAAUAAGCACCGGCUAACUCUGUGCCAGCCGCCGCCGUAAGAC
rnacentral:rRNA from 1 species